CCAAAGCCCUAUAUGAUAUGUGUUGAUACGUGUAUCCUGUAGGGAAAUUUCUACAUGAAAUUGAAGAUUUCCCAGAUUUUUCCAGAGUUUGAAGGAAUAAAAACCAACAGAAAUAAGUCCUGAUAAAUUCCAGCAAACUUCUGUAUAUGCUGAUUUCAGUGAGAAUAAAUGAUUGUCCUACCUUGCAUAAUCCUCCAGUCAACAUGGAAAAGCAGAUGAAUUAGCAGCCACAGAAGUCACUGCUUGGAGACACUGAUCAAAGCUGGAACAGCAGUAGCAGGAGGUCAGUGCCUGCAGCAGCUGCGGGACGUGGUUCACGUGGUUCUUGCUCCUGCUCAAGUCCUGUGCAUGCUAUCUUACAACCUGCUUAAUGUACAUGUGGGAACAGGGAAAAGAGAUAGAAGCAAGCAUCCUGUAACUUACCCCAUCCAACCACUGUCAAGGCAUCAUCUUUGCUGGCUGAACUCCUCUGUUGUUUCUGAGUCACAACUAAGUCUCAUCCAGUGACCUGUGCUUACAUUUAUGUGAAGGUAAAACUUUGAAGUACAGUAAAAUAUCAAAAGCAGUUGAUAGCCCAGAUGUGCAAUUGCCUGUUGCUGUAUGGUUUUUUUUUCUUUCUAAUUUUAUUUCUAAAAGGCUUGAAAAAUCACUUAGGGAAAAUUGUUUUUAAUUAAGUAGGAUACUGUAACCAGAAAUGGUGGAUGAAGCGUACCCAUCUUGUGAGCAAGUGCCUGCUGCAUUGUCCAAGAACGCAACUGAAUUUUGGGAAGGGGUUUUGCAUUAGAGCAAUAGCUUAGGUCAGUAACCCCUAUUUCUGAAACUACUGAG
rnacentral:lncRNA from 1 species